UACGUAGGGGGCAAGCGUUGUCCGGAAUCAUUGGGCGUAAAGAGCGUGUAGGCGGUCCGAUAAGUCCGCUCUGAAAGCCCGGGGCUCAACCCCGGGAGGCGGGCGGAUACUGUCGGGCUAGAGUCCGGAAGAGGCAAGUGGAAUUCCUGGUGUAGCGGUGAAAUGCGCAGAUAUCAGGAGGAACACCUGUGGCGAAGGCGGCUUUCUGGGCCCUACCUGACGCUGAGACGCGAAAGCGUGGGGAGCGAACCGG
rnacentral:rRNA from 1 species